UCUGAAAAACAAAAAAUGACAAUAGAUACCAAAAUUAAAUAGAAUUUAUGUUUGAAAAAUAGAAAAACAACAACAGGUCCAAACAAGACAUGUUCUUGACCCUACAAUAGGCAAAAAAAAUAGAAGAAGGAAAAACAAACAAUUCAAAAGACGAAUAAUUACAAACAACGUAAUAAGCUUGAGCUUCAAACAUAGGCAAAACAAUCAGUAACUCGAAGCACCCUUUGGUCAAAAGGUAAUAUUGUGAAGAAAAGCUAAUUCAUGACAUCAUCAACUAGAUUGAUUAGCAAGAAUGUGUGUACACGAAAAAGAUGCAACCUUCUAGAACUAGUUCUAUUAACAAGAAUGUAUGAGAUGAAGCUAUAUGCAAAAACGAUAAAGGAACAUUAACAAGACGACCACAGAUAAACAUUUUUAAAAAAAUUCUUGCAGUAUACCCAAAAAGUGCUUUGUUUACCAUUUUUUUUUUUUUUUAAUGUAUGUGACACACAUCUCUAGUGUUGGAGCCCCUCUAUGAUUCUAAUGUUCCGACACUUGUCUUUAAGAUCGCCGAGUGGAAGAGUUUUGUGGAAGAUGCGGAGAUUAAACACCAUUUUUGUAGAACUAGAUCUAAUAGUAUUAACAACUAAGUAGAUUUAUUAGAUGGAACUAUAUGCACAAAACAGCUUAGUAACACUAACACGACGACCACAAACAGACUUUGUCAAUAAAUUCUUAUACUAUAACAAAGUGCGCCCUAUUUACGAAAAAAGUGUCUUUUUAAAGUACCCCUCCUUGAUCCUAAUGUUCAUCCAUUUAUCUUUGAGAUCAUCGGGCUAACGAGUUUCGGGAAAAGACAUGAGGACAAAACACCAGAAUGUUCUCCAUGGAAUGUUUCUGCCGUUUUUUAGAUCAAAUUUCUGUAUCCCCUCUUGCAGUAAUGGCGUUUCUCCCCAUUGCGGCUAUAAAUGCUGAACUAAACAUCUUUCAGUAAACAGUCCGCCUAAGGACUACAAGUAAAGGUCCUAGUCAGUAAUGUAGUUAUUUUUUUUAUUUUCUUAGGUACAAAUUCUAUGUGAUUAGAUGGCAACUCGACACAGUCUAAUACAUAAAAUGUGUCUGAAAAAUAAAUAAUUACAAUAGGUACCAAAUGUUAAUAGAAUUGCGAUUUGAAAAAUAGAAAAAUGACAAAAGGUUCAAACAAGACCUGUUCUUGACCCUACAAGAGGCGAAAGAAAACAAAAGAAGAGACAAAUGAAAGGAAAGACAAUUCAAAAGGCAAAUAAUUACAAACAAUAUAGAGGCAUCAGCUUCAAAUAUAGACAAAACAAUUAGUAACUCAAAGCACCUGUUGGUCAAAAGAAAAUUAUUGUGAACAAAAGCUUAUCUAUGACAUAAACAUUUAGAUCGAUAAAUAAGAACAUAUGCAUCGAAAAGGAUGUAUACUCGUAGAACUAUAUAUAUUAGCUGGGAAGCAUGAGAUCGAAAAGAAUGCAUACUUUGAGAGCUGUUUCUUCAUCCACGGGCCAAGGAUCCAGCAAAUAAGAAUGUAGUGAAUUGUGAUGACAAGUUGAAGAGUAUAUUGUUGGGAAAGCCUCAAGUCGAGCUUGCGGAGCUACCAAUGCUUAUUAAACUCCAUUUCCCGAAAACCUCGAAGUAACUGUUUAUAUGAUGGUGAUAAUGUUUGCUCGGUGGAUGCGGCUUGGUUCGGAUCAAAUGAUGGCGGGCAUCGAGAUUUCAAGGUUACGAUCCAAUGUUUUGCCACUUUGCCGACUAAUAGAAUUGAUUUUGAUACUGACAAAUAUAUUCAUCAAAUUCUGUCAUUAUUUAUUUGCUGAAUUUGACCAGAUUUGGUGAAUUUGAUCUGCUUUAAAAUUGGAUUGUUAUAAUUGGUUGAAUAGUCUUUUCAGUUUUGUAGCUUGUACUGUUAGGUUUGAAAUUUUGAUAGGUUAUGAUGCUUUAUUGAGGUGAUGUUUGGUUGGCUGAAAAUAAAGCAAUGAAAGUAGCAUUUUUAGUGAGUA